rnacentral:lncRNA from 1 species
GAUGGAGCAGUCCGGACAAGGGGAGGAAGAGACGGCAUUGAAGACAGGAGUGCCAGAGGAGCAGGAGGAAGAGUUGGAGAAUGCUGAGGAGAAAUCCUCAGGUGAAACUCCCCUGGAGAAAUACAUGAAGAUGGUCUUGGAGGCAAGGGAGAAGCAGCGUGCACAGAGCCCUGAGAGAGAGGAGCCAGAGCACAUGAGCCCUGAGGCCAAGAGUUUGUCUGAGGAGAAAUAUGAAAGUGUUGCGGUGUAUUCACAUGAAGCUGUGGAUGAUGAGUUCUGGUAAAAGUCCUGAGGGGCUAAUAACUAACACUGAAUUUGAACAGACCUGCAUUUUCAUCAAUGUGAAGCAUUUUAAAGCUUUUUUUGUAUUUUUUAUGUAUAGUUGACAUUGUCCUUUUUUGAUGUAAUUUCAUCAAUUGCAUAUGUAUGAUUAAAUCCUUUUUUGUACUUGCUGUGAAGUUAGUUCAUUUCUUGAUUAAUGGUGAACUGAGCAACUUUUAGAUUGUCAAUCAUGCAAAGGAGAAACCAGACCACAAAAGAGUGGAGUUGAUGUUUUAUUUGUGUUUUAUUCAUAAAAACAGUCAACAGGCCAGUUGAGUAAUGUCAUAUAGGGGAUUCCAGUCAGACAGGGUACUGGAUUGUUGUCCUCCUGGUGAUUAACAAGGAGCCUUGAUUCUUAACUUUUUGGUUAAUUUAACAGACAACACAACAUGAGGCGAUGUGGUACACAGCAGCGUGUACUGUACAUCUGCCAUGUUUAUGCUGGGCCACUGUACACCUGUGGCUUUUAGUCCUGCACAGUGCAUUGCAGGUUCUGUACUAAAAUAUCUCAGAUACAUUUGUUUAUAAAACACUGGCCAAAAUGAGACUUACAAUGGCAUAUUUAUACUUUGGCUGAAUCUACCACUUAGAUUGCCAUAUCCAGCUCUAGAAAUGCAUUGCGUUGCAACUAAGGGGAAUCACUUUAAAAGUCUGUGAGGAGUGAAGCAUCGGUAAUUCAUGAGGAA